rnacentral:lncRNA from 1 species
UUCUGUGUGACCUCCUAAAUGACAGGGACACCACGGCUGGGCCUCUGUUUUCCCAUUUCUACAAUGGGAGGUCAUCACAGGUCUCAUGGGCUGUUGCUCUCAUGCACAGAGUUAUAGACAGCCUCUGCUCCUCUAAUGAACUGUCCUGAAAAUGCUAUUAUUCCUUCGUGUGUCUUGUAAAAUGUCACUUUCAAUAUGAGAAUCCCUUUUCUAAACGAUCCAUCCUGUGCUCUCUCUGCCAUGGGCCUCUAAGGACCCUUUGGAGUGUGGUCUAUGCUUCAGCUCCAAACCCUUUGGAUCAGUUGACGGGACACCAAUUCCCUAUCUCCCCACUGUCUCAUCACAGAUUGGACAUCAAUCGGCUGAGAGCCCGGCAGAGGUCUGCAGAGUGAACACAGUGCAGGCAGGGGCACCCCACACCCUGACGGAGCCGCUGGAGAAGGCCUUCCUGGACAGGAAGAGCAGGUCCACCUCUUCUGUUCCAAACUCCUCACUGGAGCUGAACUCUCAGAUAGAGUCCAUAGAUGAGCUUCUCCUGGACCAUCUGGAUCGCCCCGAACCUCCUGAGGCACAGCUCCAGAGUGUGGAGGACUGUGUGCCAGCUCCAGGCCCCGAUGAAGUCCCACCUGCAGAGCUCGUGCCUGCUCUACCUGCAGCUCCCUCACCAGCUGUGGCCCCACAGCAAGAGCCAGGACCUAUAACCUCUUCCCCAUCAGCUGCAGAGCCGGAACUCCUGGCAUCUCCACAACAGGUGUCAUCUCUUGAGCUCUACCUGGGGCUGGCUCUUGACCCACACCUGCCAUUCCUGUCACAUAUAGAUUUACUUACUCUUAUACUUAUUGCUACUCUGACUGCUCAGAGACAGGUCAAUGAUAGAAUUAAUGUAAAUAAAAUUUAAGAUUUUAGUCUUGUUUAAAAUGAUCAGCUCAGUGCAUUCUCUAUGUCUUCUCAGUCAUUCACAAUGUUGUACAAUCUUCACCACAGUCCAGUUCCAAGACAUUUUCCUCAAUGGUGUACCCAAAUGUAUCUCCUCUCCUCUCUCCUGCUGCUGGAUCCUGGCCACCUCUCAUCUUAAAUGUCCCUCUAAUUUACCUGUUCUACAUUUUUUACAACACUGCAGUCAUAUUGGACUUUGGCCACAGAAUCUUGGAAGGCACUGUUCACCCUUGUUUUUCUAGGAAGGGAAAAUCCUAGAUAG